rnacentral:tRNA from 1 species
GGGGUUGUAGCUCAGUGCUAGAGCACAUGCUUAGCAAGUGUGAGGCACUGAGUUUGAUCCUCAGCACCA